UACGGAGGGUGCAAGCGUUGCUCGGAAUUAUUGGGCGUAAAGGGUAGGUAGGUGGUCUCAUUUGUCUGGGGUGAAAGCCUUGAGCUUAACUCAAGAAGUGCCUCGGAAACGGUGAGACUAGAGUCCUGGAGAGGGUCGUGGAAUUCCCGGUGUAGCGGUGAAAUGCGUAGAGAUCGGGAGGAACACCAGAGGCGAAGGCGGCGACCUGGACAGGCACUGACACUCAACUACGAAAGCGUGGGGAGCAAACAGG
rnacentral:rRNA from 1 species